UCCCUGGAGGACUAGUGGUUAGGCCUUGGUGCUCUCACUACCGCGGCCCGGGUUCGAUUCCCGGCCAGGGAA
rnacentral:tRNA from 2 species